GGGUUGGAAAGGAGGUCAGAACGGCGCUGGUGGGACGAGCACCCUGGUCCUUGUUUGUCCCACCCUGCGGGCUCUCCCUGGUGGGCGUCAGCCGGAGAAGCCCACCUGCCCACACUGGCAAUGCCUGCUCACCACUUCUGAUAGAUUGCUCCCGGGGCGCCCCAGCCUAGUGCGGGGGUGGGUCUGUUCCCUGGAAGGAGAGGAGGUGGGACCCGCGGCCUUACAGGGUCUCGCAGACGCGUUCCAAAGAUGCUGCACAAUCUGGGAGAAUGGCAGACUCUUGUUUCAAAGCCCAUUUCCUCCACAAAACCUGGACAAAACUCAGCUGUCUUCAGCAAAACCAAAACAAAAGACAGAGUCCACCCUGACCGGUGUGGCUCAGGUGGUUUGGUGUCAACCAGCAAAGUAAAAGGUCACCAGUUUGAUUCUUGGUCAGAACACAUGCCUGGGUUACGGGUUUGGUCCUGGUUGGGGCACAUACAAGAGGCAACUGAAUGUUUCUCUCGCAUAGAUUGUUUCUCUCCUCUUUUUCCCUCCUUUCCCCUCUUUCUAAAAAUAAAAUCUUUUAAAAAAUAA